rnacentral:rRNA from 1 species
AGUGAACGCUGGCGGUAGGCCUAACACAUGCAAGUCGAACGGCAGCACAGUAAGAGCUUGCUCUUACGGGUGGCGAGUGGCGGACGGGUGAGGAAUACAUCGGAAUCUACUUUUUCGUGGGGGAUAACGUAGGGAAACUUACGCUAAUACCGCAUACGACCUACGGGUGAAAGCAGGGGAUCUUCGGACCUUGCGCGAUUGAAUGAGCCGAUGUCGGAUUAGCUAGUUGGCGGGGUAAAGGCCCACCAAGGCGACGAUCCGUAGCUGGUCUGAGGAUGAUCAGCCACACUGGAACUGAGACACGGUCCAGACUCCUACGGGAGGCAGCAGUGGGGAAUAUUGGACAAUGGGCGCAAGCCUGAUCCAGCCAUACCGCGUGGGUGAAGAAGGCCUUCGGGUUGUAAAGCCCUUUUGUUGGGAAAGAAAAGCAGCAGGUUAAUACCCCGCUGUUCUGACGGUACCCAAAGAAUAAGCACCGGCUAACUUCGU